rnacentral:rRNA from 1 species
GACGAACGCUGGCGGCGUGCUUAACACAUGCAAGUCGAGCGGAAAGGCCCUUCGGGGUACUCGAGCGGCGAACGGGUGAGUAACACGUGAGUAAUCUGCCCCAGGCUCUGGGAUAGCCACCGGAAACGGUGAUUAAUACCGGAUACGACCACCGAUUGCAUGAUCUGGUUGUGGAAAGUUUUUCGGCCUGGGAUGUGCUCGCGGCCUAUCAGCUUGUUGGUGAGGUAAUGGCUCACCAAGGCUUCGACGGGUAGCCGGCCUGAGAGGGUGACCGGCCACACUGGGACUGAGACACGGCCCAGACUCCUACGGGAGGCAGCAGUGGGGAAUAUUGGACAAUGGGCGGAAGCCUGAUCCAGCAACGCCGCGUGAGGGAUGACGGCCUUCGGGUUGUAAACCUCUUUCAGCACAGACGAAGCGCAAGUGACGGUAUGUGCAGAAGAAGGACCGGCCAACUACGUGCUAGCAGCCGCAGUAACAC